AAAUUGCCACUACAUAUGUGUUUUUAGUGGUAAUUAAUACUUUUUGUAAAUGUAUCUACAGUCUAUAGCGAUAAUGGAUCCAAUGAAAUUAACUAAUGCCGGUAAAAGCUUUAGUAUUCUUUAUUAAUAUGUAUAUUGCCGCUAAAAGUUAUCUUUGUUGUAGUGAAAGUUGGUUUAAAAAAGAACUUAGUUUGUUAUAACAAGAUGUUGUUACUGUUAUAUAGAGAGGUACUAUGAUUGUUGAGAAUUUUAAAGUUAUAUUGUUCCUAAAUUGAAAAUAUAAUGUCUUUUUUACGGCAUAUUCAAAAAAUUGGUUGUUAUAAUAAGAUGUUGUUACAGUUAUAUAGAGAGGUACUAUGAUUGUUGAGAAUUUUAAAGUUAUAUUGUUCCUAAAUUGAAAAUAUAAUGUCUUUUUUACGGCAUAUUCAAAAAAUUGGUUGUUAUAAUAAGAUGUUGUUACAGUUAUAUAGAGAGGUACUAUGAUUGUUGAGAAUUUUAAAAUUUUAUUGUUUCUAAAUUAGAAAUAAAACGUCUUUUUUAGAUAUGUUAAAAAAUGCGUCAUAUAAAUUGAGAUGAUGAAUUUUUCAAGAACCUG
rnacentral:lncRNA from 1 species